AGUGAACGCUGGCGGUAGGCCUAACACAUGCAAGUCGAACGGCAGCACAGUAAGAGCUUGCUCUUACGGGUGGCGAGUGGCGGACGGGUGAGGAAUACAUCGGAAUCUACUUUUUCGUGGGGGAUAACGUAGGGAAACUUACGCUAAUACCGCAUACGACCUACGGGUGAAAGCAGGGGAUCUUCGGACCUUGCGCGAUUGAAUGAGCCGAUGUCGGAUUAGCUAGUUGGCGGGGUAAAGGCCCACCAAGGCGACGAUCCGUAGCUGGUCUGAGAGGAUGACCAGCCACAUGGGAAUUGAACAAGGGUCAAGACUCUUACGGAAGGAGCAAGUGGGGAAUAUUGGACAAUGGGCGCAAGCCUGAUCCAGCCAUACCGCGUGGGUGAAGAAGGCCUUCGGGUUGUAAAGCCCUUUUGUUGGGAAAGAAAAGCAGCAGGUUAAUACCCCGCUGUUCUGACGGUACCCAAAGAAUAAGCACCGGCUAACUUCGUG
rnacentral:rRNA from 1 species